rnacentral:siRNA from 1 species
CAUGGGAGAUGUCUAAACUUUCA